rnacentral:rRNA from 1 species
UCCUACGGGAGGCAGCAGUGGGGAAUAUUGGACAAUGGGCGCAAGCCUGAUCCAGCAAUGCCGCGUGAGUGAUGAAGGCCUUCGGGUCGUAAAGCUCUUUUACCAGGGAUGAUAAUGACAGUACCUGGAGAAUAAGCUCCGGCUAACUCCGUGCCAGCAGCCGCGGUAAUACGGAGGGAGCUAGCGUUGUUCGGAAUUACUGGGCGUAAAGCGCACGUAGGCGGUUACUCAAGUCAGAGGUGAAAGCCCGGGGCUCAACCCCGGAACAGCCUUUGAAACUAGGUGACUGGAAUCUUGGAGAGGCGAGUGGAAUUCCGAGUGUAGAGGUGAAAUUCGUAGAUAUUCGGAAGAACACCAGUGGCGAAGGCGACUCGCUGGACAAGUAUUGACGCUGAGGUGCGAAAGCGUGGGGAGCAAACAGGAUUAAAUACCCUGGUAG